rnacentral:rRNA from 1 species
GACGUAGGGCGCGAGCGUUGUCCGGAUUUAUUGGGCGUAAAGAGCUCGUAGGCGGCUUGUUGCGUCGGCUGUGAAAACCCAUGGCUCAACCGUGGGCUUGCAGCCGAUACGGGCAGGCUAGAGUUCGGUAGGGGAGACUGGAAUUCCUGGUGUAGCGGUGAAAUGCGCAGAUAUCAGGAGGAACACCGGUGGCGAAGGCGGGUCUCUGGGCCGAUACUGACACUGAGGAGCGAAAGCGUGGGGAGCGAACAGG